rnacentral:rRNA from 1 species
AUUGCCCUUACGGCUCAGUAACACGUAGUCAACAUGCCCAAAGGACGUGGAUAACCUCGGGAAACUGAGUCUAAACCGCGAUGAGUCAAGAUUCCUGGAAUGGUUCCUGACUGAAAUCUAUAUGGCCUUUGGAUUGGACUGCGGCCGAUCAGGCUGUUGGUGAGGUAAUGGCCCACCAAACCUGUAACCGGUACGGGCUCUGAGAGGAGGAGCCCGGAGAUGGGCACUGAGACAAGGGCCCAGGCCCCAUGGGGCGCAGCAGGCGCGAAACCUCUGCAAUAGGCGAAAGCCUGACAGGGUUACUCUGAGUGAUUUCCGUUAAGGAGAUCUUUUGGCACCUCUAAAAAUGGUGCAGAAUAAGGGGUGGGCAAGUCUGGUGUCAGCCGCCGCGGUAAUACCAGCACCCCGAGUGGUCGGGACGUUUAUUGGGCCUAAAGCAUCCGUAGCCGGUUCUACAAGUCUUCCGUUAAAUCCACCUGCUUAACAGAUGGGCUGCGGAAGAUACUAUAGAGCUAGGAGGCGGGAGAGGCAAGCGGUACUCGAUGGGUAGGGGUAAAAUCCGUUGAUCCAUUGAAGACCACCAGUGGCGAAGGCGGCUUGCCAGAACGCGCUCGACGGUGAGGGAUGAAAGCUGGGGGAGCAAACCGGAUUAGAUACCCGGGUAGUCCCAGCUGUAAACGAUGCAGACUCGGUGAUGAGUUGGCUUAUUGCUAACUCAGUGCCGCAGGGAAGCCGUUAAGUUUGCCGCCUGGGGAGUACGGUCGCAAGACUGAAACUUAAAGGAAUUGGCGGGGGAGCAC